rnacentral:lncRNA from 1 species
AACCUGGGCAGAGCUAGUUCAGUCAGUGAUUUUCCACCUUCUUUCGCGCGGUUGUAUGUUUGGCGCCAGAAGUUCUCGUGCUCAGUUGCUCUCACAAUUUACCUCAGUUUAAAGUUUUCCCCAAACAACGUUUUCAAAAGGCAGGUAAUUUAGCUAACUAACAAGAAUAACAGGCUCAACAUUGUACAACAUUGCUAUUUUAUCGGCUAUAUUUAGAAUAAUUUGUUAGCUCGGUAAUGUAGCUAGCUAAAUUACCAUCAACAGGUUCGCCAGUGCUAAAUUAACUAGCUACUUCAACGUUACUGUACUGAAAUAAAUGUAUAGCUAGUGGUAGCUAUCUAGCUAAAAGGGUAACGCUAACUUUAGCUAGUUUACCAAAAUAGUUAAAUUAGCAACUUGCUGACAAAUUAACAGUUGAUAAUGAUAUUAGCUAACAAUUUUCCUAUAUUUCGAAUUUGACUAGCAAUAAGUUACUGUAGCUACAAGUUCAGGGUCAAAGGACCUCAGGGACGACAAUAACAGGCAAGGAUGAGUUCUUCGGAUGAGGUGAGUUGAAAAAUGCCUAGCUAUCCUAUCAGCUAACGGUAACUAACUGGCAUAAUCAAAGAUACUGAUGAUGGAGAGGUAACUUAACGUUACUAACAUUAUAACAUUUAGCCACCUAUCUAGCUAUGUAGCUAUCUGAGAUGUUCAGGUGAUUCCUGCUUGUGGCAUUUAUACCUGGGCCAAUGUCAUACACCUGUGGACUCGCACUAGGAUGAUUUCCAUGAUUUGAAGACCUAUUUCUCAAAGAUGGAAUGGACCCAUCUAGUGAAAUGUGAGAAAGUGCGGUACAGAAACUUGAAGAGGAACCACCUGGCUAUGCUUACUAUAGGGCUGAACUCCCCAGUACCUGCGUUUAUGAGGAGAAGCAGGCCUAAAUUGUUGAACACUGCUCCGCUUUUUGCACCCAGCGACUCAGAGGAGGAUGAGUGGACCCCUCGACUGGAGAGAUGCCCACCAGCAUCCCGGAGCUUCCGACGCCCAACCAGGAGACCAGCAGCAUCUCAGGGAGUCCCUCAGCCUGACAAACCAGCCACACCUGCUACACUUACAGUACAGCAGCCCCCCAGUGGCGAGGAGGCAGGACCCAGUAAUAUGGGGACAGAACCCGUCCAGCCAUUAAUGGAGGAGCUGACAGAAGAAGAAGUGGCCUUCCUCAGAGACGGCAGCCCAGCAGACACCCACAGUGGAGUACAGGAGGGGCUAGGAGCCACGGUGUGUGUUACUGUCAUACACAUAACACAACACACAAUAUAUUUUCAUUCAUGUUGUUUCAAAUCAAAGAUGACGAUGACACACAGACCAAGUGGUCAGUUUGAACUCUCCUCUUGUCUCUUUCCAGGAGGGUCAGAGUGA